rnacentral:rRNA from 1 species
GCCUGAUGCAGCCAUGCCGCGUGUGUGAAGAAGGCCUUCGGGUUGUAAAGCACUUUCAGCGGGGAGGAAGGCGGUAAGGUUAAUAACCUUGCCGAUUGACGUUACCCGCAGAAGAAGCACCGGCUAACUCCGUGCCAGCAGCCGCGGUAAUACGGAGGGUGCAAGCGUUAAUCGGAAUUACUGGGCGUAAAGCGCACGCAGGCGGUCUGUCAAGUCGGAUGUGAAAUCCCCGGGCUCAACCUGGGAACUGCAUUCGAAACUGGCAGGCUAGAGUCUUGUAGAGGGGGGUA